rnacentral:rRNA from 1 species
UCGAUAACGAACGAGACCUGGCUAUUAAAUAGACGAUAUAUUUAAAGUAUAUCGCGCUUCUUAGAGGGACAAGCGGCGUCUAGCCGCAUGAAAUAGAGCAAUAACAGGUCUGUGAUGCCCUUAGAUGUCCGGGGCUGCACGCGCGCUACACUGAAAGUGUCAGAGUGCGUUUUGCCUAGUUCGGAAGAACCGGGUAACCCAAGUAAAAACUUUCGUGCUUGGGAUAGGGAAUUGCAAUUAUUUCCCUUAAACGAGGAAUUCCCAGUAAAUGCGGGUCAUAAGCUCGCGUUGAUUACGUCCCUGCCCUUUGUACACACCGCCCGUCGCUACUACCGAUUGAAUGGCU